GGGGCAUUAGCGCAGCUGGGAGCGCGUCUCCAUGGCAUGGAGGAGGUCACGGGUUCGAAUCCCGUAUGCUCCA
rfam:Oribacterium sp. oral taxon 078 str. F0262 genomic scaffold Scfld0, whole genome shotgun sequence.